CCGGCGACCGGCGCACGGGUGAGUAACACGUAUGCAACCUGGCCGUGACAGAUGGAUAACCGGGAGAAAUCCCGCCUAAUACAACAUAAUGCCGGAAGGGGACAUCCCCUGCCGGUCAAAGGGGGCGACCCCGGUCAUGGAUGGGCAUGCGGCGCAUUAGGUAGUUGGUGGGGCAACGGCCCACCAAGCCGACGAUGCGUAGGGGUUCUGAGAGGAAGGUCCCCCACAUUGGAACUGAGACACGGUCCAAACUCCUACGGAAGGCAGCAG
rnacentral:rRNA from 1 species